rnacentral:rRNA from 1 species
GGUGGUAAUGCCGGAUGUUCCACAUGAGCGCAUGCGAGUGUGGGAAAGGCUUUUUGCGGCAUGGGAUGGGGUCGCGUCCUAUCAGCUUGUUGGUGGGGUAACGGCCUACCAAGGCGUUGACGGGUAGCCGGCCUGAGAGGGCGACCGGCCACAUUGGGACUGAGAUACGGCCCAGACUCCUACGGGAGGCAGCAGUGGGGAAUAUUGCACAAUGGGCGCAAGCCUGAUGCAGCGACGCCGCGUGCGGGAUGGAGGCCUUCGGGUUGUAAACCGCUUUUGUUCAAGGGCAAGGCACGGUUUUUGGCCGUGUUGAGUGGAUUGUUCGAAUAAGCACCGGCUAACUACGUGCCAGCAGCCGCGGUAAUACGUAGGGUGCAAGCGUUAUCCGGAUUUAUUGGGCGUAAAGGGCUCGUAGGCGGUUCGUCGCGUCCGGUGUGAAAGUCCAUCGCUUAACGGUGGAUCCGCGCCGGGUACGGGCGGGCUUGAGUGCGGUAGGGGAGACUGGAAUUCCCGGUGUAACGGUGGAAUGUGUAGAUAUCGGGAAAGAACACCA